rnacentral:rRNA from 1 species
AUUGAACGCUGGCGGCAGGCCUAACACAUGCAAGUCGAACGGGUGGCGGACGGGUGAGUAAUGUCUGGGAAACUGCCUGAUGUAGCGGGAUAACUACUGGAAACGGUAGCUAAUACCGCUAACCAUAGGAUGUGGCCACAUGGGAUUAGCUAGUCGUUGGGGUAAAGGCUCACCUAGGCGACGAUCCCUAGCUGGUCUGAGAGGAUGACCAGCCACACUGGAACUGAGACACGGUCCAGACUCCUACGGGAGGCAGCAGUGGGGAAUAUUGCACAAUGGGCGCAAGCCUGAUGCAGCCAUGCCGCGUGUAUGAAGAAGGCCUUCGGGUUGUAAAGUACUUUCAGCGGGGAGGCGUUACCCGCAGAAGAAGCACCGGCUAACUCCGUGCCAGCAGCCGCGGUAAUUC